GGUAUAUGUAUUUUAUACAUCACCUAAUUACAAUUUUAACAACCAAUUAAUAGAUAGAUCUAUAGAUAUAUAGUAAUCCGGUCUUAAUAGAAGAUUUCAUUCAUACAUGCCAUUGUAUGUGUAUUUGUUUGAUAGAACUACACAUAUUUAUAAGAACUGAUCGUUACAAAAUAUAUUGGCAAACAAGGUUAAAAUUUGUCUUCGGAAAAAUCGUCCCGACGUGGUCAGAAAGAGUUAUCCCCCUUGGCCGGCAUAGCGAUCGGUUUUCGAUCAAACAUUUAUCGAUACUGAGAUGGAGAACGUCAACGUGCCUGCUGACCCUGCACAUGACGCAUGGUAUCCAAGUGGGCUGUGUCCUGCCACAUUCAGGAAAUUUGAGGUGCAACCCUUGUAGGAAAUCAGUUUAAAGUAGACCCAGUGAGAUGGGCUGGGCGGAAGGGAAAGUAAUAUGGUUCAAGGACUGUGAGACAGACAGGGAUGCAACUCUGCCCAGCAAAUUGAGUGAUCAUAUGUUCCAUUUGGUCAUGUCAUCAUCUUUCACCUUUUUGUGUCCUAAUAAUGGAAUGUACCAGUUUCACUGUCCAGUUACAAGAAGCCUGGUGUAAAUAGCUUGUUUGGUCCAGUUGCACCCAACAAAGGGCAACUACCAUGCUGUAAUGAAACUUGAUGGUAUCAGUUUACACCAACGCUAAACUACAUAUACAGCUCCCAAUACAGUGUGCUUUGAGAAGGGAGAGCAACUAUGCCCUGUACGUUUCUGGAAAGAAGAAGUGUUGAGAAGAGUUCUGUGUUGAAGUCAGCAUUGGCAUCCUGAGUAGUGAAAAGAUCAGCAGGGAGUAGCAUCAGUUCGCUACUGUGUGGAGGGACAGUGUUUCUCCCUAUACUCAUGGACAGUACUGUACAUCUAAACACAUGAUUCAUAUUAUAUAUUGUUUCAUAAUGUGAGGUGUGUUUUUUUCAUUCAAAAUAUCAAUUAUCAUAUAUGGUGAAUUUAGCAUCUUACAAAUAUACUGUGCAUGGAAUUUCUUCACUUACACUGUUUUCAGCAUUUUGAGGCAAAACUCUUUUCAUGUGUUACAUUUAUGUUUAUUGUUUCCUCAACAAUAAAGAACUAGCAAAAUGA